rnacentral:lncRNA from 1 species
UAUAACAGUAUAUAAAUAAUUUAAAACAAAUCUAAAUAAUUCUCAGUACAUAAAAUAUAAUAUUUGUAUAAUAUUUAUAUUUUUCACAUUUCAGUUAGCAAUGCAUCUCACAAACACACACAAAGUAUAUAAAAUAACACUGAUGGAAAAUACUCCUGAUGUUAAAUGUAAAGAACCAUUACUGCAGCGUUGUUUGAAUGUUACUCUAAUGUAAUGUAAAUGUUACAUUUGUGUAAAAAAUAAUAAAAAAAAAUGUGGACAGUAUAGCCUAGAUAUAAGUUUUUACAUAUUUAAUAAAAUACUACAGAACUACUCACCACUGUAAUACUACAAAUCACAUUAGGAACAUUAACAUUCUUGCAAUCAAAACACACGUCUAAAAAUUAUUUUAGAACAUAAAUUUAUCAAGGUUAUUUGUGAAUCUCCGUUUUCCUUUUUCCCUCUCUCUCCUCUUCCUGUUGGAUGCGAUUUCUCUCUUAUUUCCUCUCCACACUGCAGGGGCCAGUCUUUUUUAGUCGAUGCGUGAGUGUCAGAGCACGAGGAUUCAGGCUGUUAUGAAACCCUCCAGGGCUCUUCUGUUGGUUUCAGGAUCCAGUGCCCAUUUCUGGCCCCAUCCACACCUGUACCUGGUGGUGCCCCGGAGCGUGUGAGGAGCAUAUGCCCGUGAGGGCAGCGGGAGGCUGUGUGGGCAGACAAAAGAGUGGUUUUCCACUCACUCUUCCUGACUGGACGUCAAAUGCAGAUUAUUUCGCGAAGUGUGAUUUUGGCAGUGAUUUGCCAGCAUCCUGUGAUUGGACCUCUGAGGGACCCAUCAGCGCUCAGAAGGCAACAGGUAAUUAUACUGCGGAGACGAAAUUGCUGCAGAGACAGUAACUGCUUUGUGUUUACAACCAAUCCAUCCACCUGCUGAACAACAACAGCAGUUAACAGGUUGCUUACAACACGCAGAGAUCAAGUCAGUUCAAUUUUUGCCGAUCUGUGGUAAUUAUGU